rnacentral:rRNA from 1 species
UUGAAAGGGAAACGAUUGAAGUCAGUCGUACCGGCGGGUAAUCAACCUUUUGGGUGUGAUUAUGUGGAGCGUGAGGAGUUAAUCACCCUCAUCUUUGCAUAUUCGUGCACUUUGGGUGUACUUGCUCGUGUGGUAGGUUAACAUCAAUUUUGAUCGUCAUAAAAUGAUUGGGGGAAUGUAGCUUCGAUCUCGUAUUGAAGUGUUAUAGCCUUCGGUAGAUGCGAUGAUUGGGAUUGGGGAUUGCAACGGAUACCCUUCGGGGCUACCUGUCUGAUCUCUGAAAGUUGCUCUGGUGCUGAAAGCUUGCUUACGGUAUCAAAGUUGACGUUCAACAGGUUAGAACGGGAUAAAUUCGUUAAGGAUGUUGACGUA